rnacentral:rRNA from 1 species
GGAAUAUUGGUCAAUGGACGAGAGUCUGAACCAGCCAAGUCGCGUGAAGGAAGAAUGGUCUAUGGCUUGUAAACUUCUUUUGUCAGGGAGUAAAGUGCGUUACGUGUAGCGUUUUGUAAGUACCUGACGAAUAAGCAUCGGCUAACUCCGUGCCAGCAGCCGCGGUAAUACGGAGGAUGCGAGCGUUAUCCGGAUUUAUUGGGUUUAAAGGGUGCGUAGGCGGGCCUUUAAGUCAGCGGUGAAAACUUCAGGCUCAACCUGAAGCCUGCCGUUGAAACUGGGGGUCUUGAGUAUAGAUGAAGUAGGCGGAAUUCGUUGUGUAGCGGUGAAAUGCUUAGAUAUAACGAGGAACCCCGAUUGCGAAGGCAGCUUACUAAGCUAUAACUGACGCUCAAGCACGAAAGCGUGGGGAUCAAACAGGAUUAGAUACCCUGGUAGUCCACGCCGUAAACGAUGAUUACUAGUUGUAUGCGAUAAGACAGUAUGUGACCCAGCGAAAGCGAUAAGUAAUCCACCUGGGGAGUACGCCGGCAACGGUGAAACUCAAAGGAAUUGACGGGGGCCCGCACAAGCGGAGGAACAUGUGGUUUAAUUCGAUGAUACGCGAGGAACCUUACCCGGGCUUGAAAUGCAAUCGACGACGGAUGAAAGUCUGUUUCCAGCAAUGGCGAUUGUGUAGGUGCUGCAUGGUUGUCGUCAGCUCGUGCCGUGAGGUGUCGGCUUAAGUGCCAUAACGAGCGCAACCCACAUUAUUAGUUACUAACAGGUCAAGCUGAGGACUCUAAUAAGACUGCCGGCGUAAGCUGCGAGGAAGGUGUGGAUGACGUCAAAUCAGCACGGCCCUUACGUCCGGGGCGACACACGUGUUACAAUGGGUGGUACAAAGGGCAGCUACCGUGCGAGCGGAUGCCAAUCUCCAAAGCCACUCCCAGUUCGGAUCGGAGUCUGCAACUCGACUCCGUGAAGCUGGAUUCGCUAGUAAUCGCGCAUCA